UCGGAUAUGGUGUAACGGCUAACAUUGCCGCCUCUCAUACUUGAUCGCGGCAGCUCGGGGUUCGAUUCCCCGUAUCCGAA